rnacentral:rRNA from 1 species
ACGAACGCUGGCGCAUGCCUAAUACAUGCAAGUCGAACGCUGAAGCACUCUGCUUGCAGAGGUGCGGAUGAGUGGCGAACGGUGAGUAACACGUGGGAAAUCUGCCUAGGAGUGGGGGGAUAACAUUCGGAAACGGAUGCUAAUACCCGCAUAUCUUUUUGAACCGCAUGGUUCUUAAACGAAAGACGGCUUCGGCUGUCGCUCUUAGAUGAUCCCGCGGCGUAUUAGUUAGUUGGUGGGGUAAAGGCCUACCAAGACCAUGAUACGUAGCCGACCUGAGAGGGUGAUCGGCCACACUGGGACUGAGACACGGCCCAGACUCCUACGGGAGGCAGCAGUAGGGAAUCUUCCACAAUGGGUGAAAACCUGAUGGAGCAAUGCCGCGUGAAUGAAGAAGGUCUUCGGAUCGUAAAGUUCUGUUAUUAGAGAAGAACAAGUCAAGGAGUAACUGUCUUGACUUUGACGGUACCUAACCAGAAAGUCACGGCUAACUACGUG